UUGAAAAGAAGAAAAGCAAAUUGAGAUUUCGUGCCAGUGUCAUUUAAUUCCAGCAAAAGAAAACUCGUUGCUCCCAUCACUUGGUGAUAAUAGUUAGGUACACAAUGUGCUGCCAAAGUAUUAUUGCCUUCAGUGGUAGCAGCUUCACAUUUUGCAGGAUCGUCGUUUGUCCAUGUCGGCGGGACUAUAUUUGAUAUUCCCGGACUCUUGCCAAAUGUUAAUCGCAACUGGUCACGAUUUUCUUUUUCUCUUUCCAUCUCAGUUUUGUUUAACCUUUCUUUCAUCCCCGCUGUGCUCAACAAAUAGCGGGAUAACAUGCCAGGUAAUUCUAUCACGACUGCGUGAUACUGUUGUGUAUGCCUCGGACUAUAUAAGAACUGCGUUUACAUAAAUUUGCAAAUUUUUAUACCUUCAUUAUGAUUUUGUCCGUCAAGUACUCUGUUUGGAUGACUGCUUGUUUUUUAGCCUGGAAAUAGGUCUUCUCCUGUUGUUUAUUCCCCGUUGUGUUUAUGGUAAUGUUUCCAUUAUCGUGCAAGCAAGAAAAUGAAAAAAACAAACAAACAAACGGCCUGUUUUAGAAAUCACAUAAUAACGGUAUCGUCCACAUAAACACAAUGUAAUAAGAAAACUUUUUUUUUUUUUACUUUAUCCCCGACGUGAGAUAAAAGGACUUGCUUCCAGAGACGGCCGCGUAGAUGAGAUGGACAUCCGCCUUUAAUAAAUUCCUCCGACAGCAGGAUGUCAUUCUCGGCCACCACUGGAUGGCGAAAAAUGAUGCAGGAAAAUGAUGGAAAUCAAGAAUUAUUUUUUGUGCACAAACAUAGUGAAAUGCCAAAGAGGUCAUACCUUUUGUUCCAAGGGUGAUCCGGUGGUUUAGCAGGGUCACAUUUGAAUUGCCUUGAAGUACGAGAGCUGAGCCAAGUCCCAGAAAGGGGUCAAUACUCGUGCAAAUGUCUGAAAAAAACUCUUGCUAGUUGUGCAUGGAACACGGAACGAGGAUAUAAACGAAAAAAGAAAGAAUUCAAGUAUAAGUGUAUGCAUACAAACAAGGAGAGAGCGAGAGGAAACUGGGACGAAGUAGAUAAACCCCUUUAAUAAUACAGUGAGAUCUCCAAAGAAAGAAAAGGAGAAAAGAAUAACGAGAUUUACGGAGCUGUCUACGCGAACCACACAAAUGGGAAAACUGGAGUUUGCAAACCGCGUAGCCAAUUCGUUAGGGCAACGGAGCGCACACUUUGCAUGGAAAGGACAUCCGCUUAGCCGACAGAUGAAACUUAAUAAGUUUUCCUAUUCUCCCAGCAAAUCACUGCUGUACAACUACAAUAUCGAGCCAAAUCACCAAGUUAUUUAUCUAGUGGCUUGCUUAAACGGACAGAAAUUGCCUAGAGGGGCAGAUACAGUAUUGAUCGCUACUGUGUGUGUGUGGAUGUCAAACAGGAUGAAAAGACUGAGGGGAGUAUCGUGAAAUUCAAGCAGAGGGAAACGGAAACGCCAUCGGGUAUGUAUCGGAAACUUACCAGAUCCUCAAAGGUCGGUACAUUUAAAGGUAUCUUGACUGCACUCCAUUUCUCUUCCAACCUGCAAAUAGAUAAUGAGCGCGUGUGGACGUGGUCAACAUUCAGUAAACUCUCAUUUUAGACACA